AAGCAUAUCAAUAAGCGGAGGAAAAAGAAACCAACAGGGGAUUGCCCUAGUAACGGCGAGUGAAGCGGCAACAGCUCAAAUUUGAAAUCUGGCUUCGGCCCGAGUUGUAAUUUGUAGAGGAUGCUUUUGGUGCGGUGCCUUCUGAGUUCCCUGGAACGGGACGCCUUAGAGGGUGAGAGCCCCGUAAAGUUGGACACCAAGCCUAUGUAAAGCUCCUUCGACGAGUCGAGUAGUUUGGGAAUGCUGCUCAAAAUGGGAGGUAAAUUUCUUCUAAAGCUAAAUACCGGCCAGAGACCGAUAGCGCACAAGUAGAGUGAUCGAAAGAUGAAAAGCACUUUGAAAAGAGGGUUAAAAAGUACGUGAAAUUGUUGAAAGGGAAGCGCUUAUGACCAGACUUGUACCUAGCGGAUCAUCCAGCCUUCUGGCUGGUGCACUUCGCUUGGUUCAGGCCAGCAUCGGUUCCCAGAGGGGGAUAAAAGCUUCAGGGACGUGGCUCCUCCGGGAGCGUUAUAACCUGUUGCAAAAUACCCCUCGGGGGACCGAGGUUCGCGCAUCUGCAAGGAUGCUGGCGUAAUGGUCAUCAGCGACCCGUCUUGAAACACGGACCAAGGAGUCAAGCAUUAGUGCGAGUGUUUGGGUGUAAAACCCGCACGCGUAAUGAAAGUGAACGUAGGUGAGAGCUUCGGCGCAUCAUCGACCGAUCCUGAUGUUCUCGGAUGGAUUUGAGUAGGAGCAUUAACGCUUGGACCCGAAAGAUGGUGAACUAUGCUUGGAUAGGGUGAAGCCAGAGGAAACUCUGGUGGAGGCUCGCAGCGGUUCUGACGUGCAAAUCGAUUCGUCAAAUCUGAGCAUGGGGGCGAAAGACUAAUCGAACCAUCUAGUAGCUGGUUACCGCCGAU
rnacentral:rRNA from 1 species